GACGAACGCUGGCGGCGUGCUUAACACAUGCAAGUCGAACGGUGAAGCGCCUUCCUUUUUGGUGGGUGUGGAUGAGUGGCGAACGGGUGAGUAACACGUGAGUAACCUGCCCCCUUCUUCUGGAUAACCGCAUGAAAGUGUGGCUAAUACGGGAUAUUCUGGGUCUGUCGCAUGAUGGGUCUGGGAAAGAUAUUGUUUCGGUGGGGGAUGGGCUCGCGGCCUAUCAGCUUGUUGGUGGGGUGAUGGCCUACCAAGGCGGUGACGGGUAGCCGGCCUGAGAGGGUGGACGGUCCCACUGGGACUGAGACACGGCCCAGACUCCUACGGGAGGCAGCAGUGGGGAAUAUUGCACAAUGGGCGCAAGCCUGAUGCAGCGACGCCGCGUGAGGGAUGGAGGCCUUCGGGUUGUGAACCUCUUUCGCCAGUGAAGCAGGCCUGCCUCGUUUGUGGGUGGGUUGACGGCAGCUGGAUAAGAAGCGCCGGCUAACUACGUG
rnacentral:rRNA from 1 species